CAAGUCGAACGAACCCUUCGGGGUUAGUGGCGCACGGGUGCGUAACGCGCGGGAACCUGCCUUUAGGUUCGGAAUAACUCAGAGAAAUUUGAGCUAAUACCGGUGAUGUCUUCGGACCAAAGAUUUAUCGCCUUUAGAUGGGCCCGCGUUAGAUUAGAUAGUUGGUGGGGUAAUGGCCUACCAAGUCGACGAUCUAUAGCUGGUCUGAGAGGAUGAUCAGCCACACUGGGACUGAGACACGGCCCAGACUCCUACGGGAGGCAGCAGUGGGGAAUAUUGGACAAUGGGCGAAAGCCUGAUCCAGCAAUGCCGCGUGAGUGAUGAAGGCCUUAGGGUUGUAAAGCUCUUUUACCAGGGAUGAUAAUGACAGUACCUGGAGAAUAAGCUCCGGCUAACUCCGUGCCAGCAGCCGCGGUAAUACGGAGGGAGCUAGCGUUGUUCGGAAUUACUGGGCGUAAAGCGCGCGUAGCGGCGAUCCAGUCAGGGUGAAAUCCCGGGGCUCACCCC
rnacentral:rRNA from 1 species